rnacentral:lncRNA from 1 species
AUGGCUCGACAUUGCUAUGAACCAAUACAAGUCUCUCUGGACUAAAUACGUCGACAACGAAAUGGAGUUUGUGCAGAUGUGCAAUUUUGGUCUUUAAAGAAAGAUAUCGAUGAAGAGGUAACCUCAAAUCGAUAUGUGUUCAGUCAUUCAGGGCAUUCUUUAGCUUAUAUACGUUUAUCUUUUACUAGGGAUUGGUCCGCCCUACGGGCGGGUAAGUUUACAAUAAAAUUCUUUAUAUUAAAAUAUAUUUUAAUUUUAUAAAACAUUUAAAAAUUAUUUUAAGUAUAAUUUGUUUUCUAAGAUCAUAUUGUAAAUUUCAUUUGUUAAACGUUAAACAACUGUUAUAAAUUUUCUUCUAAUAUCAUACCUUAUUUGUUAUUUGAGUUUCUAAGAAAAUGUAAAUUGGUAGUGCAUUAGGUUUGCAUUUGGAAUUGAUAUGUGUGAUACUGAUUUUAGUUUUUUUAAAAUGUUGUGUGUCAGGAAGUGUGAUUGCAUGAGGUCAUUUGGAUGAGGAAUUAAAUGUGAUGUGAGUGAGUUUGUAUGCUUCUGAAACUGAUUUAUAGUAUACAAUACCAGUAAAUUUGAUUUGUAUGAACAAUUUGAAUUGGAGAAGAAGUGUUCGGUUAAUAUAUUUCAAAACUUUAUGGGCUUUCAAGGAUUUUUGUGUUGUUGGUCGUUUAAGUUUGGAAUCCACACUCCAUUGAGUAACUGUUUUUUUUUUGCGCUUGGGAGCUCGUCAUCGUUUUGCUUGGAGUAUUUAUUUUUGCAAAACAGUUGAUAUUUAUACUUAUAUCAAGUGAUUCGUAAUAAAUUUAUGGUUAAACAUUUGGCCUCACAAUGUCUAUUUUAGUUAUUUCAAUCUCAUAGGAAUGAGUUUAUUUGUUUUAUACAACCAAUUCUCAUAGUUUAAUGUGAGUGACAUUCAUCCUACAUAAAAGUUGAAUAGGAGUAGUGUGUACUUUGUUUAAUCAUUUAUAAUCAGUUGGUAUAUUUUCUCUUUUUCAUAGUGGGAUGAUUGGUUUAAAGAACUUUAAUGGCAAAAAAGGAACCUUAAUGGCAAUCUGAAUUACGUUGGUUGAAUGAUGAUCUAAGGCAUAGCAAAGUCGGAUUUAGAAAGGUGGUAAAAUCAAGAUUUAGCCAUAGGUCAAUGAAAAUGUUAAACCGAUGGAGGCAUUAGUAGGAAAGCAAUGGUUUGUCAGCUCGAUCAGUUGGUCUAAAUGUUAAAUUAGUAACGCCAAUUAAAACCAAAGAUUCCAAUAGGAAAACUUGAAAAAACUUGUGAAAUGGAAGGUUUUGAACACGAAUGGGUUCAUUUAGUAUAUUGAUAUGUUUGUGAUUUUAAUGUUUUUAUUUGUGUGUUCCUCGGUUAAUUUAUUCUCAAAUGUUUUUAUAUGCUUAUUUGAUGAUAAGUGAUUUUUUUUAUAACAUGAUUAAGAUUAGCAAUUUUGUGAUAAGUUAACUAUCACAUUAUGUGUCAUGUUUUACAAUUAUAUUUAUUCAUAUUUUGGUUUCCUAAUAUUAUAAUUAUUAUUUUUAUAGGUAUUUUAACGGCUAAUGACUAAUUUUUUAGUUGUUGAUUUAUAUUUGUAAUAGUAAUUAAAAAUUCUAAAUUAUUGUUCUGCUUUAUUUUACUUAACUUUGCUUUCAAUUAAUAUUUAUUUUAUUAAUUGUGUUUUUACAGUCUUAAUAUUGUUUUUUUUUGGAAUUACCAUUUUCAUUAUAAAUUAAAAGGUUUUGGUUCAGUAUAUUUAUGUAUUAGUAUAGCUUUUUCGUUUCUAGAUUGAAGAGAAAAAACAAUGAAAAUAUUUGAAGUUUAAUAGAAUUUCAAAUUAAAUGUUAUAUAAAUUAUAUAAAUAUUUGAUACACGUCAUUUUAUAUUUAUUAUUUUAGUUUUUAUUUAGAUUUGUAACAAUUUAUGUAACUGGAAUUUUUAUCACAAAUAUACAAUUUAAUUGUCCCAGCAUAUCUUUACAUUUUAAUCAAUAUGUUUAAUUAAUGUUAUUUCAUAUUCGUUUGAUUGUAAUUUCGAUAUUGGUCAUCAUGUUUGUUACGGUUAGUAUAGCACAUCAAAAUUGUGAGAAUCUGAGAACCUGUUUUUGUAAGCUUCCACUCUUUGGCUCAACAGCCCCAUAGUAUGGAAUCGAAACCUGUUUGGGCACUUAUACAACCAAUUUGAGCAUGGAAGAGUGUGAUUCUUGUCGUGUCUAAAACUUGUGAGCAGAAGUUGGGUUACGGAACUAAAGACGAUAAGUGAUAAUCGUAGGAAUUUUCUUUAUUGUUAGGAUAAUUUCAAGACAGAGGAGAUGAUUUCAGGGUGCCCAAAUACAAAGUAAAGAUAAUCUUAUUCAAGAGUUGUGUUAUAAAGUCUUGUGUGCCUUCUUUGAUGGGACCCUCUGGCGCAGGAAACAGAGCUUCUCCAGCAGUGUUUCCGCUCAAUACAUUAGGUACUCCAGGUGAUGUGUCCGUAUCACUUCGUUCGUCCGCCGGUCGGUUAUGCUUCUGGAGGUGUUCUCGGACCCAUGGAGUCAGAGCCAUUGCAGAAGAUACACGUAGAUACUCUAUUUUUAUGCACCUCCACAAUUAUCAGAACUGGAUGAUCAGUUGACGUCACUCCCACGCAAUCUGCAGUUGAGAACGUGUAAGAUUCUUGAGAAAGUGUGUAGGAGGGAAGUGAUACAAACAUCCUGUUGUUCAAGAUUCUUACUCUUGGAAGAAGCUCUAGCCAGAGCCGCUUUCAUUGUUAAAGUAGAAAUGAGUGUCAGAUGUUGUAUUAAGGAAUAGUCGACCUGCAAGCAGAACUAAGUAAGCUCCAUAAGAUGUUCUGAAUCAGAACUUCUGAUGCACAAAGUGAAUGCACAGACUCUGUGAUCUUGACGAUCUGGGUAAGUUAGGUGUAGAUCGCAACUGUUGAGUCUGAAAAUCUGAAGUGAUUGUUGAUUCUGUAAGACUAUGUAGCAAAUUUUGAAUAAGCUAGUUGUGGAGUUCAUUCACAGAGUGCUCUCGCUCCUUAGUUGUGGCAGCUUUAGUGUUUGCUUCCUCGAUAUUCGUAGAAGUUUAAAAAAAAAAUGAAAGAAUACAAAAAUAAAUAGUUGAUAAGCUGUAUAGCAGUGAUUUUCAAAAUAGUGUGGGCAUAAAAAUGAAAAUUUGGAUAUAUUAGUCGACACAUACUCUAGUGAAAGACAUUACCUUGUUACAAUAUGCAAUCUCCAACUGUUUAAUGUUUCUGGCCUCUAAGCACACACCAGUUAUCUCCAUUCCAGUACACGGGGAAACAAUGCCUCCUCACCAAGUUCAACAUGUCAGAAACAUAGAUUGGAUAUAAGCACUCUAAAGGUUAAACAUGUUAACAUUUUAAAACACUGCAGAGAACAAUGGUACCUCAUAUAGACGACUCUAAACAGGUGCACCAGCUAUCCCCUCUUGUAGAAGACGCAAAAUCUUCUGAAAGAGUUUUAAUUGAUUGCUUAUUCGAGUUACUUUUAAGGAAUGGAAGUAAACCUGGUGAUCGGCGGUGGGACUGUCUAGUGGAGAUGAUGCGAGCGCCGAUGUUGUCCUGUCGAAUCUGCUGCGCUGAACCAGUUCCUGUUGUUUUAAAUCACAUUAAUCAGACCAAAUAUUAUGCGAGUAUAUUCAUUCUUCAAUUAAUUAUUGAGUGGCAAAAUUAAAAAUGAAAUAAUCAAUUGUUACAAAAUGGACAGAAACUUUAUGUUUGUUUAAUUUUUUUAAAAAUUUUGUGCAGUUAAGUGUUAGUUGAUAAUAAUUUUACGCAAACAAUACUUUUAAGUAUUUAAGCUGCUGGUUUCAAAUACUUUGGUAAUAAAAUGUUAAUGUCCUAAAGUAUAAGGGUGAGACUGGGGUUUUAAUAAUAUUGAGAGUUUAUAUCUACACUAUAAAUUAGUAAUUGUUUAUUAAACCAAUGAUUAAUGACAUUAACGUGUCUUCUUCACUAAAAUGUCUUGAGAUCUCUAUCCAUCCCAUCACUCUCCAGAGGCUAAUUCACACUCUAUCGGGCAAGCAAGAACCUCAUCCCCAUCUGAACUUUUUUUUUUUUAAACUGACUUAUAAAAGGUAAAGCUAAAUGGCGGUGGCCUUCCAUGGAGGCCGGAACGGCGUCGGAUCGGGACUCCGCAGUUUCUUCUCGUACCGGAUCUUCAUCUCCGCCUUGUUCUCUUUCCUCUUCCUCGCCACCUUCUCCGUUGUCCUCAACUCCUCUCGUCACCAACCUCAUCUCGAUCACGUAAGCUUCCGAUUCGUUUCACAAUCCGAAUCAAAAUUUAGAAAUGAAUUUAGAAUCUGAGCUUCGAUUUUUGGUGUUUAGACAUUGCCGAGGACGUUUCAAUCGGAUCCGUUGAAAGCUAGGUUAGAUCUGAUCCACAAGCAAGCCACCGAUCACCUCACGCUUGUGAACGCUUACGCUGCUUACGCUAGGAAGCUCAAGCUCGACGCGUCGAAGCAGCUGAAGCUCUUCGAAGAUCUGGCGGUUAACUUCUCCGAUCUGCAGGCCAAACCUGGACUGAAGCUCGAAAACGGGAACGCGAUCGAGGAGGAUGCGUUUCGGCAGAUCGAGAAAGAGGUUAAAGAUAAGGUGAAGACCGCGAGGAUGAUGAUCGUUGAGUCCAAAGAGAGUUACGAUACACAGCUCAAGAUCCAGAAGCUCAAGGAUACGAUCUUCGCUGUUCAAGAACAGUUGACGAAAGCUAAGAAAAACGGCGCCGUUGCGAGCUUGAUCUCGGCUAAGUCGGUUCCCAAGAGUCUUAACUGUUUGGCUAUGAGGCUUGUUGGUGAGAGGAUCUCUAACCCUGAGAAGUAUAAGGAUGCUCCGUUUGAUUCGGCUGUGUUGGAGGAUCCGAGUCUUUAUCACUACGCGGUUUUCUCUGAUAAUGUGAUUGCUGUUUCCGUUGUGGUGAGGUCGGUUGUGGUGAACGCUGAGGAGCCGUGGAAGCAUGUGUUUCAUGUGGUGACUGAUAGGAUGAAUCUCGCCGCUAUGAAGGUUUGGUUUAAGAUGCGUCCUUUGGACCGUGGUGCUCGUGUUGAGAUUAAGUCGGUUGAGGAGUUUAAGUUCUUGAACUCUUCGUAUGCGCCGGUCUUGAGGCAGUUAGAGUCUGCUAAGUUGCAGAAGUUUUACUUUGAGAACCAGGCGGAGAACUCGACUAGAGAUGAACAUAACAUCAAGUUCAAGAACCCCAAGUAUCUCUCGGUGUUGAACCAUCUGAGAUUCUACUUACCGGAGAUGUAUCCGAAGCUGAAUAAGAUCUUGUUCUUGGACGAUGAUGUUGUGGUGCAGAAGGACGUGACUGGGUUGUGGAAGAUUAAUUUAGAUGGGAAGGUGAAUGGAGCUGUUGAGACGUGCUUUGGCUCUUUUCAUCGAUAUGGUCAAUACCUAAACUUCACUCAUCCUCUGAUCAAAGAGAGCUUUAACCCCAAUGCUUGUGCUUGGGCCUUUGGGAUGAAUAUAUUUGAUCUCAAUGCUUGGAGGCGCGAGAAAUGCACAGAUCAAUACCAUUACUGGCAGAACUUGGUAAGCCCCAUAUCUUUCUUAGUAACUUAUGCAUUUCAAAAAAUCUCUUUUAUCUUGUGUUGAUUGUGUGCUAAUCUCUGAGCAGAAUGAAGACAGAAGUCUCUGGAAAUUAGGCACUCUGCCUCCGGGACUGAUGACAUUCUAUUCAAAGACGAAAUCACUGGACAAGUCCUGGCAUGUGCUUGGGUUAGGCUACAACCCGGGAGUGAGCAUGGACGAGAUAAAAAAAGCAGCAGUGAUACAUUACAAUGGGAACAUGAAACCAUGGCUAGACAUUGCUAUGAACCAAUACAAGUCUCUCUGGACUAAAUACGUCGACAACGAAAUGGAGUUUGUGCAGAUGUGCAAUUUUGGUCUUUAAAGAAAGAUAUCGAUGAAGAGGUAACCUCAAAUCGAUAUAUGUUCAGUCAUUCAGGGCAUUCUUUAGCUUAUAUACGUUUAUCUUUUAUAUAUUAUAUAGGGUUACAAAAGUGUUUUGCUUUGUUCUUUCUGUCAUAGUUUUGUUC